AUCCUUCAGUUCCUGAGAGUGAUGAUUGGAUGUUCAUGCUGUAUGCACGGUAUGUACCUUCCUCAAACCCUGUCACAAUGUGGGCACAUUACCAUCUCACA